rnacentral:rRNA from 1 species
GCAGUGCGGCGUGACUAUACAUGCAGUCGAGCGGACAGAAGGGAGCUUGCUCCCGGAUGUUAGCGGCGGACGGGUGAGUAACACGUGGGUAACCUGCCUGUAAGACUGGGAUAACUCCGGGAAACCGGAGCUAAUACCGGAUAGUUCCUUGAACCGCAUGGUUCAAGGAUGAAAGACGGUUUCGGCUGUCACUUACAGAUGGACCCGCGGCGCAUUAGCUAGUUGGUGAGGUAACGGCUCACCAAGGCGACGAUGCGUAGCCGACCUGAGAGGGUGAUCGGCCACACUGGGACUGAGACACGGCCCAGACUCCUACGGGAGGCAGCAGUAGGGAAUCUUCCGCAAUGGACGAAAGUCUGACGGAGCAACGCCGCGUGAGUGAUGAAGGUUUUCGGAUCGUAAAGCUCUGUUGUUAGGGAAGAACAAGUGCAAGAGUAACUGCUUGCACCUUGACGGUACCUAACCAGAAAGCCACGGCUAACUACGUGCCAGCAGCCGCGGUAAUACGUAGGUGGCAAGCGUUGUCCGGAAUUAUUGGGCGUAAAGGGCUCGCAGGCGGUUUCUUAAGUCUGAUGUGAAAGCCCCCGGCUCAACCGGGGAGGGUCAUUGGAAACUGGGAAACUUGAGUGCAGAAGAGGAGAGUGGAAUUCCACGUGUAGCGGUGAAAUGCGUAGAGAUGUGGAGGAACACCAGUGGCGAAGGCGACUCUCUGGUCUGUAACUGACGCUGAGGAGCGAAAGCGUGGGGAGCGAACAGGAUUAGAUACCCUGGUAGUCCACGCCGUAAACGAUGAGUGCUAAGUGUUAGGGGGUUUCCGCCCCUUAGUGCUGCAGCUAACGCAUUAAGCACUCCGCCUGGGGGAGUACGGUCGCAAGACUGAAGACUCAAGGAAUUUGACGGGGGCCCGCACAAGCGAUGGAGCAUGUGGUUUAAUUCGGAGCAACGCGAGAAGCCUUACCAGUCUUGACAUCGUCUGACGACCCUAAAGAUGGGCUUUCCCUUCAGGACACAUUGAACGGGGUGGUACAUGUUGUGCGCCACUCCUGUUCAG